rnacentral:rRNA from 1 species
UUCCGGUUGAUCCUGCCGGACCUGACUGCUAUCGGAUUGAUACUAAGCCAUGCGAGUCAUUGUAGCAAUACAAGGCAGACGGCUCAGUAACGCGUAGUCAACCUAACCUAUGGACGGGAAUAACCUCGGGAAACUGAGAAUAAUGCCCGAUAGAACACUAUGCCUGGAAUGGUUUGUGUUCCAAAUGAUUUAUCGCCGUAGGAUGGGACUGCGGCUUAUCAGUUUGUUGGUGAGGUAAUGGCCCACCAAGACUAUUACAGGUACGGGCUCUGAGAGGAGUGGCCCGGAGAUGGGUACUGAGACACGGACCCAGGCCCUAUGGGGCGCAGCAGGCGAGAAAACUUUGCAAUGUGCGAAAGCACGACAAGGUUAAUCCGAGUGGUUUCUGCUAAAGGAACCUUUUGUCGGUCCUAGAAACACCGAUGAAUAAGGGGUGGGCAAGUUCUGGUGUCAGCCGCCGCGGUAAAACCAGCACCUCAAGUGGUCAGGAUGAUUAUUGGGCCUAAAGCAUCCGUAGCCUGCUUUGUUAGUUUUCGGUUAAAUCUGUACGCUCAACGUACAGGCUGCCGGGAAUACUGCAAAGCUAGGGAGUGGGAGAGGUAGACGGUACUCGGUAGGAAGGGGUAAAAUCCUUUGAUCUAUUGAUGACCACCUGUGGCGAAGGCGGUCUACCAGAACACGUCCGACGGUGAGGGAUGAAAGCUGGGGGAGCAAACCGGAUUAGAUACCCGGGUAGUCCAGCUGUAAACCAUGCAAACUCAGUGAUGCAUUGGCUUGUGGCCAAUGCAGUGCUGCAGGGAAGCCGUUAAGUUUGCCGCCUGGGAAGUACGUACGCAAGUAUGAAACUUAAAGGAAUUGGCGGGGGAGCACCACAAGGGGUGAAGCCUGCGGUUCAAUUGGAGUCAACGCCGGG